rnacentral:tRNA from 1 species
AGGCUUGUAGCUCAGGUGGUUAGAGCGCACCCCUGAUAAGGGUGAGGUCGGUGGCUCAAGUCCACUCAGGCCUA